UGCUCCAAUUCUUUGUUGUGAUGAGACAAAGAACCAAGGAACAUACACUCGCGUGACAUCUAUGGUGCCGUGACUCGGAUUUAACCUGGCUGAAACAACCUCUACGUGGAAGAGGCCAAGCACAACAGGAGCCCAACUCAACAGAAAGCUCACGGGGCCCAGUCUCAGAUUCCAGAAGACCUCCAGUUAAGUGGAGCAGAUGUGGCCUCCAAGGGCCUGUAUUGGAGCCUCAAGCUGCUUGCUGGUGUGGGACCUACACGUCGGGAUGCUCACAGACUCAGUUCCUUCUGUGUGAGACAGGGGAGAUUCAGCGUGCUGUGAGCGUGCGCUCCCUUGAGCUACCCCGCCGCAGUAGCGGAGGCUUUUGCAAAACUGACUUAACAAGGGCCUCAUCCAAGACAGUGGGACAAUGGGGAUCUCAACAUUCUUUCUGGCGGCCUCUUUUGCAUGAGCCAAGGCAAAGGCAUGAGGUGGAUGGGGCUGAACCGUCACCUUUAUGACUGGAGCACUUUUGAGUGACUGCCCACAUGGGCCUGUUGACUCCCCAAACCCAGACUGGACUUCGGAGGAAACAACCUGUGAGCACACUGGAGUCUGCAAACAGCACACUCUGUUAGGGCGAAGAGGACGCAGAAGAGAGACCAACUAAUCUUUGCUAGUCUUUGACACACCCACACCACCCAUUUAAGGAACAGACAGAGGGCUCUCGUUUGCCCACCAACUAACUCAUGGUCUCCCCAGGGAAUAAUGAGAGGUGGAACAAUAGGCCAGGUGUGGUCAGGGGAACCCCUCUCACCACCGUGAACACACAGAGUGGGGAAAACAUGUCUCCUCUGAAUGCUCCCCCAUUUUUGUCAUUGUCAACCUGAGGCAGGGGGCUGUUGGGCCCCCCAGGGUAAAACAGUUGGAAAUUUAUUCUCUACUGAUCAAAACUCCAAGACAAGAACAGCAGGACAAUUAAGGGAUGAGGCUGGACCCUGCACAGACUCACAAAGUCAAGAGACAUCUUCAACCACACAGGUGAAGAAAAGGCUCCUUGGAGGCCAAAGAGGAGUCACGUCAAGAGAUGUUCUACUCAGAUGCCUUUUUGAUAGGAUCCGUCUUGGCUAAGAGAUGUGUGUGCACACAUGGGAGGAUCCUGAGAUAUAUUAAAUAUGGCCUGUGAACCAGGCAAAUCAGAAUGAUUGGCCAAAGGAGACUCAGAAGAAAUAUCCCAUAAAAGUAAUUCAAACUGCCAUGAGGGCUCAACCUAGCAACUCAGGGACUCUCCUUCUGAGCCUGCCCGUGUGUCUCUCCAGAUGUACUGUAUGUACUCUUUUACUUUUACUCCUAAGUAUUUACUCCUAAUAAAUACUUAACUUGCUUCACUA